UGUACGGAUCUUUUUUCUUUUGGAUGUGGUGCUGCUCUCGCUCCUCACUCUGACUGACCGAUUGAUUGUGCAGUGCGUGGUGGAAUAUUAUUAUCGAAAAAAAAAAGUCCUAAUCCUGUUUGGGAGGAAUUUUCGGGUUUCGUAAUUGUGGAACGUGAAUCGAGUUCGCGGGCGAUAUCCGUAACCGACCGCGGGAAGUCCGGAAUCCAGUGGUGCGUGCCGUCGUCGCGAGUUUGCGGAUUCUGUGUGCUCUUUGCCUUCAUCGCACUAUUUUGGUUGUGUAUCGCGUAAAUUGCUGCUCCGCGACGAAGGGUUUCUUCUUUCGCUUGGCCGUGUGUUCCGUCGUGGUUUAUUUGUGUAACCUUUGGAUCUUCUGUGGAGCCGGGAUCCGCCCAUUGUUCCGCCGCUGGGAGUUCCCUUCCGGAAGUGUUAUUUUGGUGGUGAUCAGGAUUGUGUGAAUUUCUAUAUUGGAGUGACUCUCUCGGGUGCUGGAAUCGGACUCGGGAACCAUCCGAUGGACACAGGAGUUUGAGGAGUUUUGAUUGGACAAGAACAAUUUUGGACACUGGAAUCGAUCCGCGGAUCAAAAGGACAUCAAGAUGUUCAAUGCGGGCGACUCGUUCGGGUAUCUGUUCGAGAAAAAUGACCCGAUACAUUCGCUCAACAACUUUGCGACCUCGUCGCAGACAAUUGACAGGUAAUGGCAAGCUAACUGUUAGCGAUUAGAGGAGUUGUUGGAUCUUGUUCCUGAAUCAGAAUAGUAGGUGAAGAUUUAAAGUACCAGAAGGUAUUUUUGUACCUACAGAGGUGAUGGAAUAAUAGACACUAGUAACAGAUGAGAUUUAUACUAGCUUUAUCCAGAAGUUACCUUAUGCAGAAGAAAUCCAUCCAAAUAUAUCAGCAUGACCACUUUGCCUCUGUAAAGAUUAGAAGGCAUUGUCGAUCACAUUAUCCGUGAUGUAUAUUUGGCUAACAUGCCUUUUCAUGUGAACUAACAUGGUUAAUUGUUUAGAAGAUUCACUGUGGCAUGUUUACACGAAAUUGUUUACGAUAAUGAGGAAGCAUUUGCAUUUCAAUUGUCAAUUGCGACAACACGUACAUCUUUACUAGCUGGUUGUGUUGUUGACAAGCAUACAUGCUCGAGACAUGACACGUAAGGGUGUCAUUUCAUUUUUACUAAAAGCAUAAAUUAGAACUAUGUUGCAUAUCUUGAUAUGUACUCAAUUUUUUUUUUUCAACAAAACACACAUGAUUUCUGAAUGCAAUAUACCUUCGCCUUAAGGAUCAGUUUAACUUAAGAUAAAAGAGAGCCCAGAAGGAAAUAAAUUCUACCACCACCACGUGUACCGAUCGCUUGCUAGAACAAACAAAUGGUCAUCCUACAAUGUCCUACUGCAGUUGAUUGAUAGCGCAUCCCUCGGUUAGAUGCACACCUUUACAAAAAAAAAGAAGAUGAAUCUUCAACACAUGCCUUUCCGGGGUAACCGACGACCCAACAAUACCUGAAUUAAUGAACGAUCUGCAAAACGUUCCUUUUCUUGGCCAGGGAACCGGUGACGGUCCUGGCUGCAGCUUUCUUCCGCGCCCUUUUCAGACUCUCGGGCGGGCACACAAAAGGUGCACAUUUGAUUCCCGGAUUUUUUUUUUGCAAGCGAACAAUUCGCAGGCCCACCCGAAAACGAAGGCAUUGGAUAAACCAACAAAAGACACGCAUGAUGAGGACGAUCGAGGACGACAAACGAGGAUGAUGAUGAUGGUCGAUGGAUCGAUUUUUCUUCCCCGUGGGCUCACUGAUUUCUUCGUCCUGAUGCAGAUGCAGCCAGCGAACUGGCGAAGGCAAUGUGCAAAUGCAGCUAGUCAGAAUUUUUCCUCGAGCAUUAGUGGUGCUGUGCAUUCGGGUUCGAUCGGCGUAAAAGGCGCCAUUUAAUGGCUGGCAAUUUGUCUUGAAAUUAAUUUACCAUCUCGCAUUAAAAAAAAAUACAAACUAUCUACAGACUCAAUUUUUAAAACGAUUGAAAAUAUAAAAAAAUGUGCUAGCUCAGGGAAAAAUUUUGAAAAAAAAAAAAACAUUAUUGCACAGUAGUUGGCAGGGUUGGAUAAAGUCACGAAAAUGUCAUGAAAAAAUGUCAUGACAUUUUUCAGUUCCUCCUGUGCAAACUUCCGUCCAUGAGCACAAACCUGGAAUAAUGCUGGUUAGUUAUGGAAAAUAAUUAGGUAUGUCGUCCGCAAGUAUUUCUUAAAAAGGGCGUUGAUAUUGUCAAAUAAUCAAAUAACAUUUUUAUGACAUUUCCGAACCCUGGUCCGUGGUUGGCCGAACGUUUUCACAUUCAAAUUUGAACCAUUAACAGAUACUUUCUAAAUAUUAGGAUUUUACGGAGUAGAUUUCAAUUUUUAAAAUCUUGUCAAACGUCGAAUAAUAAAUAAUAAAACGUCGAAUAAUAAAACAUAAAUAUAUUACUAUUUCAUUAUAUAUUCAUUAGUAUAUUUUACUAACAUUACCCAAUGCUUAUCUUCAACGAUGAACAAGUAUAGCUUUAUGUGUUUUCGUUCCCAAAACUGCAAGAAAACGUUUGGUAUGACACUUUCUUGAAACCGUUCGGAGCAUUUCCCCCCGAAUCCUCCCAUUACUUUCAUUCCGACGAUUGUGAUCUUCACUCGCUCUGGCUACGGCAGAUGUCUGUACCUACCAAUGCAAUGCUUUUCGGGAAGGAAAGGUGGUACCUUGCCAGGAGUUGGUAUGGUAUUUGGUGCGUGCUAAAUUGGAUGCGAAAAAGGAAAUUAGCACUGUUUCUGCACAGCGUUCUGCUGGGUGGUGUUUCCAAAGAGAAAAGUGAAGAAUUGCAUUGCAUUGUAGGUCGGUUGUAGGUUUCAUCGUUGUGAAUUAGAUUCGCUAAAUGGGAUGUAGGCUGAGGCGAUCCGACACUUUGAUAGGAAAGGUGUUCAAAAGAAAUUUGAGUUAUUAGGUACAUUUGUGUAAGGGAUGGGAGAUUUAUUGCAUGGAUAUUUAUUAUGCUUUCGUUUCGGGGUGCAAAAUAGGAUUGGAGGAAAUUCAAUUCUUCGAGAAAUGUUUGCGUUUCUGCUGUGAAAACUCACGUGGUUUUCUUCAAGGAAGUAGCUAGUAAUUUACACAAACAGAAAUAUCAACGCUACAAUGUUGUUUUGCAAAAAAAAUCUGUCAAAUUGUAAAACUGUUGUUGUCAGAACCGCAUAACCGUUGCAACGCGUUGUAUGGAUAAAAUGUUGCUGUUUGAUAUAUUGAAAAGUUUUCUUUUACUAGCAUUACAACGGAAUUGUUUUUGCCAUCGACGUUUGAAUCAGGAGACAUAGUUUGUGACAAUAGACGAAACGAUCCCUGAAGAUGGUCUCAAGCAGUAAGUCGAAACCUGCGAAUAGUAUAGCUGUCGUAAAUUAAAGUACUGUAAACAGCGUUUCUCAAACUAUGGGUCGCGAAGGCUUGCGAGAUAUUGCAAUUAAUGUCUUAAUUAACGAAUGUCAAAUGAUUGCUAGUCAUAUUCCAAUAUAAAAAUACUCCCUUGGAGAAUCGCCAGAGUUUCUAGGAAUUCAGUUUCUCCUUAAUUCUGUUCAAACUUUUGUAUUAUAGGUCUUAGUCUGGAAUACAUUGAAUAUUGAAUUAUCUGCGUUCUAAAACCGGUUCUGGAACCAUGAGUUUUCAAUCAAAAUGUUUAAGAUCAGGGUUACAUUUUAAAAUUAACUUGUGUUCUGGAAAAAAAUAAGUUCAAGUUUUUGCUUGCAGUUUGUGUUUUAAGUUAGAUUUACACUCUUGUACCUAGAUUUACACGUCAAGCUCAACACCCAAAAUAUCAAAGAAACUUGAGAGGCAAAGGGGUGUAAGUGACAAAAACCCACAGUCAAGUAAAUAAGUUUUGAAGUUUUUCACCAAUUUUUCAUCCCAUACAAAAUGUAUAGAAUUUCGAAAUCGACCCAACUUUCUCUGUUUUUUGUAAAUUUUCCAAUCAUCGUAGAAAUAAUCUUAAAAAAGCUCUUCAAAGUUUGGAUUCUGAAGAAUUUUUUGAUAUGCUUAGCUCAAAACCGACGAAGUGGUCACUUACACCACUUUGCAUCUGGGCCCCUCAAUUGAAAUACCAAAAAUCAGCACAAGGAAAAAAAAUGCCAAACUUCGACAAGAAACCUUACUUUCUUUACGACCUUCAGUUAGCUGUACUUCGGUAAAAUUCUACUGAAUAUCAAUUUUUAAUUUUUUUUUUCGGAUAUCAGGACAGCUGAAAAGUCAUUUCCACAAAAAUAGAAAUAAAAUAACUGUAUACCUUUUUGGUUAAUAUCAACAAAUCAACAAAAAAUGUGUAUACUAGUUAACAGUGUUUCAACAAAUAAAAUAAGUGUGCAUGAAGGAUGAGAAUAGAGAUAUCAAGGAGAUUCAUCUGACCAUCAAGCAACACUAUAAUUCUAGAUACUUUGAAAUUCUGCAGAAGCAUGAAAUUGCCGUUAUAUCUUCAUAGACUUUGUAAAAAUUGUAUUUUUUUUUGUUUAUUUCUAAAAUGUGUAAGAGAAUACAUAAGACUUGUUCUGUAGCGUUGCAUUGGAGUCAGACUGGUUAAAUAUAUUAGAAAUGUGGAAACUGAUCUCAAAUUCUUUAGACCCCUUAGAGUUUACCGAAGCUGAACACUUGAGCACUUUAAUCUUGCUCAGAUUUUUCCAAAGAACGAAAAGAGCACUGUAAAUAUAAAAAAAAAACAUAUUUUUAAGUUUGUGUGCUACGUAACGAACUCAUGAAAGUGAUUAAGUCAAUGAUUAAUUGUAUUUAUUUAAAAAAACCAGGUCGAAUUUGCAGAUUUUUUUAUGAAUUUUUUAUGCAAAUGCUGGUGGGUCGCCAAAUCCUAUAAAAAUUAAAAGUGGGUCGCAAACUCAAAAAGUUUAAAAACCCAUGCUGUAAAGCAAACCGUCAGUCAGAUCUUCAGAUUUUUGCUUUUUUAAGUAACUUCGUUAACCUUAAAGUAAACGGGAUGUCAAUCUGUUUUGUUAUUCUAAAAGAAUGCUGUGGCUUGUUGAGAUGGCGAGAGAUAUUAGGAAAAUGAAAAACAGAGUAUAUAGCAUUAGCAGAGGUGAUGCGCCAGUUCGCAAAGAAUCUUCAGUCUUGUUUUAAACAAAUUUAGAAUCCAAAUUUCAGAGAAAUUCCCAGUCAGUAACUUGAGCAAGGGUGGCUUCAGCAAUUGUUGAGCUAUUGCCAAUAAAUAGCCUCCUGUUUUUUUUUGUUUCUCAAGAAAUCCGUGAACUACUUUUUAAGAAAUUCGCGAAUAAUCCAUUGAAACUUUCAGUCAGAACUCCAUCUAGAUACUCUACUCGAUUGUGUAUUUUCAAGCAAAUUUAAAGGUAUCUCAGGGAAAUAUUUUAGCUUUCCAGAAAUGCCUUCACAGUUGUCUUUCGAGUUGUCUUUAUUGAAAAUAUUAAGAAUUUUGAAACAAACACAUCCUAUUUUUAUGAAUUUCAUUAGAGCUCUGCAUUAGAAAAUAAAAUAAUGUUUUCAGAUAAAAUGUUUGACAAAUUUUGUUAGCAUUUGUCUUGAAUUUUUUUUUUGGGAAAUAUUCGCAUAUACAAAAACGAAUAUGAGUUCAAAUUGUACUCAAUUCAAUCCUACUCGAGUAAUGUUACCAGCUUACAUAAGUACAUAAAUUGUGAAAAAAUCGCGUUCUGGUGGGAUUCGAAUCCACGACUUCGUAUUCGCUAGACCGGCGUUUUAACCAACUAAGCCACAGUACAGGUAACAAUUCUGCGGAAUAGAAAGCCGAACUGACUCCGAGCCCACACCAUGAACACUCCUAUUUUCACAAUUCUUCCAAAUUUCAAGUUUUUCGUAGUACGUCUCGACGUACCACUAUGGGCCAGAAAUCAAAAUUUCGCGACAAAAGCCAAAAAAGUAUUUUUUCUAAGAUCAAUCAAUUUUCAUAUUUGUAUGAUUGUUUGGGCUAUGUUUGAUUAUAUACCGACUGAUUUUUUCGAUUUUUAACAAAAUUGUAUCGUUUUUUGUAUGGAGAAUCUUCUUAUAAGCGAAAAAUCUCGAUUUUAACCAAUAUUUAGGAAAAUGUGAUUUGUAGUGAAAAAUGUCCCCAACAAGUAUAACGCAUACAUUUCCUAAAAGUAAAUUUAGUAUAUUUUGCAUAUUUGGUGCACAAAUUGCGAUGCUUUUAAGUUUAAAAAUAAAUUUUACAAUAUUUAUUCAAAUUUUGCGAUUCAUUUGCCAAUGUGUUCAAAAAGUAGGAGUAUUCGACCGUAUUCGAUAUGCAACCGGUCUAGGAUGCUAGUUUAGACUCUUCUUUUUCGAAUGCUUCCGGACUUUUUUGCGGGAAUUUGCGGGAAACCAAGUUAGAGUGAUUUAAGUGCUAUCUUUAAUUUUACAAUAUUUAGCGCUAUGCUUCAAUAAUCAUGUACUCUUGCCAUUACGACGCAAUGACUUUAUGGCUUGCGAAACAAUAUACAUAGCAACAAACAACUACCAUUCUGGAAGAUUUUGUUUCAGAAAUAAAUGUGAUUAUAAGCUUUUAAAUCAAGACCACACGCUUACUCAAUGUGCAAAGUUGCGGUAUAUCAAUCCGUGAGAUCUAUUAGAAUUUUAAAUUAACUCAACAUACAUAUGUACAGAUGGAUACAUUUUUCAUGAAAUAAGGAACAAAUCCACAGCUCAAGUGAGAUUUGAACUCGCGACCCUUAUAUGCCGCAUAAGUGCUUUACCGACUUAGCUACCGAGCCAAUCGAUGACACGGCAUUUUAAAUAUUACAAAGAAAAUCAAAUAGGGGAAAUUGUGUAUUUUCAGAAGUUUUGUUCUCUUCGUCAUGGGGGGUUUCUUGAAAGCUGCUGAACUCAGAGUUGGCCUCAAAUCCUUCCCAACCAAGCAUAGUUGUACGACAAAGUUUCAGAAAAUUUGGCCGACAAAAAACCCCCAUGACGAAGAGAACAAACCUGCCGAUAAUACCCAUCGUCACCCUAUGUCUAUUUAUCGCAAAUAUAUUCAUCCCACUUGUACAUAUGUACGAAGAGCGAGCGUAAUUUAUUCAUUGUUCAAAUACCGGCUCCGAGUUAUUUGGCCGACUGUCAUUUGGCCGAACGCCGUUUGACUGAAUGCCGUUUGGCUGAAGAAGAAACGAUUGUGCCACUGUUCUCGACGUCAGUAUAACUCAAAAUAAUCGCCUAUGAUUAAAAGGAAGAAAAAAACUCUGAUAAAAUAUUGACAGUUUCAACGCCAACUAAUCCCUGAAUUGUAAAACUAGAAAGAAUAGUCAAUGUUUGGAGGAAGGAAGAAGCAAAAAUGAAUGAUGAUCAAAUUGGCAGCUAUAUAGAAUGUGAAAAGGGUUCUCUGAAUUAUUUUGAACAUAAUUCGGCCAAGUGGCAUUCGGCCAAAUGCCGGACAUCUGAAACACCUAAGCAGCGGAUUUUUUCACCAAAAAUUUAUCCAUAUAUACAUAAAUUGAGCUUAUUAAAAAUCAUAAUUCACCACACGAAUUGAUAUACCGAAACUUUGCACUUUAAGUAAGUAUGUGGUAUUGAUUUAACCCUUAUGUGGCCGACAGGGUACCCGGGUACCCAGCACCCAUUAAGAAUACACGGUGUAGAAAAAAGCAAGAAGUUUGUCGGACACAUAAUGGAUAAACGCCUACAAUCACAGUCUUACCUGAAACGAAACCUUCCAGAAUAAUAGUAUUUUGUUGCUAUGUGUAUUGUUUUGCAAGCCAUAAAGAACCGUAAAAUUUGAAUAAAUAUUGUAAACUUUUAAUUUAAACUUAAAGACAUCGCAAUUUGAGCAUCAAAUAUGCGAAAUAUACUAAAUUUACUGUUAGGAAAUGUAGGUGUUAUAUUUGUUGGGCACAUUUUUCAACAAAAAUCACAUUUUUCUUAAUAUUGGUUAAAACCGAGAAUUUUCGCUUAUAAGAAGUUUCUCCAUACAAAAAACAAUACAAAUUUGUUACAAAUCAAACAAAAUCAGUCGGUAUACAUUCUAACAUAGCCCAGACAAUCAUACAUAUAUGAAAAUUGAUUGAUCUAAAAAAAACACUUUUUUGAAUUUUGUCGCGAAAUUUUGAUUUCUGGCCCAUAGUGCGUACCAGCAAAUUGGUACAAGCCUGUAAAGGGAACAUAGAUAUGUUAAUCUUUAUUUUUCAAAGAUAUAUUUAUAUUUCUUGCAAUGCAACACUGCAUUGUACUAAUCCAGUAUUUUCUAUUGAACACUUCCAGCCCGUUUUAGAGCUCUUUUCAGACAAAUUCAGGAAGGAAUUUCAAAGGAGUUUCAGGAAAGUUUACAGAAGUUUUAGCGGAUGUUAAGCCCUUUCGGGAGCAUUUCAGGGUUCUCAUGAAGAAUUCAGGGUUUUUGAAGGGGUAUUAGGAUACACUGAAGUUUUUUUUACGCGUUUUUUUUCGCGGUUUUUUUACGCGGUCCGUCCUAAAAAAACAGCGUUAUUUCAAAAAACCGUCGUAAAAAAAUCCGCGUAUUUUCAAAAACACGCGUAAAAUACUCAGGACCACAUCCACCAUGACUUGACUGUUUUUAUGACGUUUUUUUGAAAUAACGCGGUUUUCUUUUACGAUGGUUUUUGAAAUAACGCGGUUUUUUACGACGUUUUUUAAAAUAACGCGGUUUUUUUUACGCGGGACCAUUACCGUCGUGAAAAAAAAAACUUCAGUGUAUAAGGGUCGUUCUAGGACCUUUUUGAGGCUAUUUAAAGGGUUUUGGUGCGUUCCAGGGGGUUUCAGGCGUUUCAAGAGAUUCGAGAGGCGUUUCAGAAGCAUCGCAUGGGGUUUCAAGUAGGUUUUAGGAGUUGUAAGGGAGAUUUCAGGGCGUUUAAAUGGGUUAAAUGACUUUUCAGACAGUUUUAAGAGGUUUCCGGUGCAUUUCAAGAGAUUAAGGAAGCAUUUCAGGGGGUUUCUGGGUUGUUCUAGGGAGUUCUAGGAUGAUUAUCAUUUAAGGCAAGGCUGCUCAACCUUUAUCGCUGGUUUCAUACAUUUUUGGUCAGUAUGAUUGUAAAAAUGGUCAGAUAUUAGAUCUUUUAGCAUCAAAUGGAAACCUGGUGUAAGAAGACUAAUGGAUGCAUGUAUUGAAACUCAUAUUUAACUUAUCCACUUAGCUACCGUGGCAAUUUAGUCAAAAAAACCCAUCCGGCCCGCGGGUCAGUCUUUUUUUUUGGGUUCAACUGCAUUGGUAGCUAAAAAUUGUCAACAAAUUCUAACUUUUCAACUUGGAUGAGUUAGAUGAAACAAUAAGCUUUCAUUUGAUCGCAAAAUAUUCCAUGUUAAACUUGUUUUGCGAACGUACCGAUUGAAAAUGUCUGAAACAUGCGAAAAAGUUUCGCCAGCCCUGAUUUAACCCUCCUAGGAUGUGAGGUUUAUCGCACCACGAUGGUCUAGUGCACGUUCAGCGUGUGUCCGUCUGGGUCAUAUUGAUCCUAACAUCUUACUAGGGUUAACCGUUUUGAGCCGGAUAAUUUCAUCACUGCUGCCGCAACCUCGCUGGCCUCGAAUACGUUUGUUAUGCUCGCUUUAUUGACCCCUCCGGCUGCAAAGGGUUUAAGGAGUUUUUGAAGCGUUUCAGAGGGUCUCUAUGCGUUCAAAAGGUUUGAGAGGCGUUUUAGAAGCGUCACAAUGGGUUCCAAGAGGUUUUAGGAGGUAUCAAGUCUCCAUCCAGGGCGUUUGAACGGGUUUCAGUGACUUUUCAGAAAGUUUUAGAACAUUGUAGGUGCAUUAGAAGAGGUUUAUUGAGCGUGUUAGAGGAUUGAGGAGCGCGUUAGGGCCCGGGAGUUCAAAGAGGUUUCAGGCCUUUUAAAGUGUUAAAGGGCGUUUCAAGAGGUUUAGAGGUCUUUAAUGAAUUUCUAAGGGGUUCCAGGGAAGAUCAAGGCCUAUUUCGUCUGCUGAAAAAGUUUGUGAGUCGCAGACGAAAUAGGCCUAUCUGUCCGAAGAUAAUCACUGUAGUGGAAUUAAAAUAAAUUGCUCAUUCUUUCUAGUUUUUCUUUAAAAGUUAAAAAUGUUACUUUGAAGUUUUAUUUUUAUUUAACUAAUGUUUCAAGUGAAAAAGUUUUGCUAGAAGUUCCAAAGCGAUAGUGAAAUGUGAAAAUUUUAGGAGGCUUCAGUGAGAUUCCAGGGCGUUCCAAGGGGUUUUAGUAGCAUUUCUGAAAGUUUUAAGAGGUUUAGGGAACAUAUCAGGGGGUUUCAAAAAGAUUUCAGGCAGUUUUAACGUAUUUGAGGGCGUUUCCAACAAUUUAAAGGGAUUUUCAGAAAAGUUUCAGGGAAUUUUAAGGCCAUUCGAGAGCAUUUCAGGGUUUGAAGAACGUUUAUUGGCGUCAGGGUCGUUCUAGGGCCCGUACCUGAUCUUUUAAGGGUUUUUAGCGCUUCAGGGGGUUUCGAGCGGUUUUCAAGAUGUUCCCAAGCAGCACCCACAACAUCAUCCAAAAUGUGUCUUUCUAUGCUUUGGCCCAAAUGAGUUACUCUAAAAUCACACGCAACUUCCAUCUUGUCGAUUGAGUUGCAUUUGAACUCCGAAUUUCGUAAAGUUACGGCUUUUUUCAUAAGAACCACAAAUUACCUCGUAUUUCACAUCGAUUAAUGUAGGCGGAGCUUACAUAUUCCUCGCAAGUGACAAUACAGUCAGCUUGCAUAAAAUGUGCUAUGUAACUCACAUGAAACAUCUUACUUUAGUUUGUUUGUUCAGAUUAGGUUCCAAAUGUUUUGCGCAAAACUUGCGCGUAUUUUCAUUUUGACAGUUCUCUAACUUGUGACAAACAAAGUUCAAUGAAGUAACACGUAACUUCAGUAGCUUUUAUGGUGUGUUGAGCAGCAAUUCUCAUACAGAGCUGCUGGUGUAGUAUGUAAGGCGAGUGGUCAAUACUCCUGGUGUCCAUGGUUUGAGUCUGAACAUGUUUUUUUCCUUUUUAAUCAUUCCCCUAGCAAGUUGCAUAACGAUUUAAAAUCUGCGCUUUUUGCGUUUCAAAGAAGAAGCAAUUGUGUUCUGUGGUCCUUAAUACGUACAGUAAAUACAUUGCAUUGAUGAUACUGUUACUGGCUUUGUAACGUGGUUACAAUAUUGCAAUUAAUUGCUCGUUUUAAUAAUCUCGAUUGAUCAUCUUUUCGCCAUGAAAAGUCGGAUCUAAAUCGUACCCUAAACGAAGCAGACAUAUUCAUGCCAUAUUUUAUACGACGAUAGCGCCGCUCGGUGGUCGAUAUUGAAACCACCCAUCUCCUAUCUCAAAGCAGCUAUGAACUCACUCAAUUUCUUAGAUUCAUUUCUUCAGACUGAUGAGUUAUUUUAACGGAUUUUGGAUUGUGUAUAAUAAUCUAUUAUCCAAAGGACAAAAAAAUCUUAUCAAGAGUCUUUCCGAGUGAAACGGUGAUACAAAGCGGACGUGGUCCAAAAUUGUUCAGUGGAAUUUUUAGAAAAAAGUUGAAGUGACUGUUAGCCGUUUGAAAAUGUUUUAAAUCGGAGUCUUGGAAAAUUGUGGAAGCUAAU